GAUUUUUCUAUUUUUAGAUGAAUGUUCUAGAUGUAAGAGAAACUGGAAUGGUCUGAUCAAUUACCAGAACUCACUGAAGCUGACACUGGUUUGUCUCUGGACAUUUGAACCUCUCCAGCUGGAAAGGGUGUGGGAUGAUAGACAGGUUAGCAGCAAACCAGUGGAGAGGAGGCUGCAGGAUUUAGCUGCUCUUUGCUCCCCUCCUAGCAGCCUGGGGCCCUCCUCCUGGGCAUACGGGGCACGAUGGACUCCCCGGGAUACAACUGCUUUGUAGACAGAGAGAAGAUGGACGCUGCUAUCCAGGACUUAGGGCCAAAGGAGCUGAGCUGCAUGGAGCUGCAGGAGUUGAAGCAGCUGGCCCGCCAGGGCCACUGGGCUCGUAGCUACACCCUGCGGGGAAAGGUGUACCAACGCCUGAUCCGGGACAUCCCCUGCCGCACUGUCACACCCGAUGCCAGCGUGUAUAGUGACAUCGUGGGCAAGGUUGUGGGCAAGCACAGCGGCGGCAGCCUGCCCUUGCCCGAGUUCGUGGACAGCACGCAGGUGCCCAGCUACUGCCUGAACGCCCGGGGCGAGGGCGCCGUGCGCAAGGUCCUCCUGUGCAUUGCCAACCAGUUCCCCGACAUCUCCUUCUGCCCUGCCCUGCCGGCUGUGGUGGCCCUGCUGCUGCACUACAGCAUUGAUGAGGCUGAGUGCUUUGAGAAGGCCUGCCGCAUCCUGGCCUGCAAUGACCCCAGCAAGAAGCUGAUCGACCAGAGCUUCCUGGCCUUUGAGUCUUCCUGCAUGACCUUCGGGGACCUGGUCAACAAGUACUGCCAGGCAGCCCACAAGCUGAUGGUGGCUGUGUCAGAGGAUGUCCUGCAGGUGUACUCAGACUGGCAGCGCUGGCUGUUUGGGGAACUUCCCCUCAACUACUUCGCCCGCGUCUUCGAUGUCUUCCUGGUGGAAGGUUACAAGGUGUUAUACCGUGUGGCUCUGGCAAUCCUCAAGUUCUUCCACAAGGUGAGGGCAGGGCAGCCCCUUGAGUCAGACAAUGUGAGGCAGGACAUCCGCAUGUUUGUCAAGGACAUCGCCAAGACGGUGUCCCCUGAGAAGCUGCUAGAGAAAGCAUUCGCCAUCCGCCUCUUCUCCCGCAAGGAGAUCCAGCUCCUGCAGAUGGCCAACGAGAAAGCUCUGCAGCAGAAGGGCAUCACUGUCAAGCAGAAGAGUGUUUCGCUUUCUAAAAGGCAGUUUGUGCACUUGGCUGUCCACGCUGAGAACUUCUGCUCAGAGAUUGUCAGUGUGAAGGAGAUGAGAGACAUCUGGUCCUGGGUCCCUGAGCGGUUUGCCCUCUGUCAGCCCCUCCUGCUCUUCUCCUCGGGACAGCACGGGUACAGCCUGACCAGGUUUUACUUCCAGUGUGAAGGACACGAGCCCACCCUCCUGCUCAUCAAGACCACGCAGAAGGAGGUGUGUGGAGCUUACCUGUCAACAGAUUGGAGUGAGAGGAAUAAGUUUGGAGGCAAACUGGGCUUCUUUGGGACUGGAGAAUGCUUCGUGUUCAGGCUGCAGCCCGAGGUGCAGCGCUACGAAUGGGUGGUCAUCAAGCACCCGGAGCUGAACAAGCCGACAUCCUUCAUGUCCUCGGAGGCCACCAUCACCCCUUCCCUGUUCAGCCACUCGGUCUCCUCAGAACCCCCUGACCGCCUCUCACCGUUCCUAGCUGCCCGUCACUUCAACCUGCCCUCCAAGACUGAGUCCAUGUUCAUGGCUGGAGGCAGUGACUGCCUCAUCAUUGGGGGAGGUGGAGGCCAGGCGCUCUACAUUGAUGGGGAUCUGAACCGGGGCCGCACGGGCCACUGCGACACCUUCAAUAACCAGCCACUCUGCUCCGAGAACUUCCGCAUUGCUGCCAUUGAGGCCUGGGGCUUCCAAGACCCCGACACCCAGUGACCACCUGCGUGGACGGUCCCUGCACGCCUGGCUGGUGACUAGCCACUGUUCGUGUGUGGAGACUGAGAAGAGACUGCCGCCCCUGGGACUGCUCCCCAGCACCCCACUCCCCGCCCAGGAGCAUCUGACCUGCUGCUGACCCAGUUCCCUGCUCCCACAGGCCUCCGGUGGCCACCUUGCCAACAAGCCUGAAGCUUCUGCCAGGCCUUGCCACAUGGCCACACCUGAAGAGGUGGCCCCAGGAGCGGCCCUCUGUGACCAACCCCCAAACCAGUUCCAUUUCCAGGGGUGUGCCUGGAGAAGCCUGGACCCACAGGGGCUUCUCAGCCAUUCUUCUCUCCAGCCUGGGGCCCAGGGUCACGUCCAGACCCCUCAGUGUGCCAUGCUUGUCUCAGUCCAGCCCUGCACACCCGGGCUCCUGGGGCAGGCACUACACCCUCCCUGGGUCCCUGCCCACAUAGCACCUCCUCGACUCUGUGUCCUUCUCAUGGUGCUUUCGCUGGCCACAUGUCAUGGCGUUCUGUGUGCUGCAGCCUAUUCCCUUACAGCUCCCUGCCCUGCCUGAGCCUGGCAGCAGCCUGGCACACAGUAGCUGCCAAGGAAAGGCUUGCCGUUGAGCACUGCAGGGAGCGGCCCCCACCCUGUGACAUCCCUCAGCUGGUCUUGAGUGUCUGGGCACCACGGAGGGAAGAGGGGAGAAGCAGAGACCCGUUUGUCUGUGCUGUGUCUGUGGAGGCCUGGGCCACAGACACAGGUGCUAGGGUCGGCCCCAGCCCGGUCCCCACUUGGCUCCAGCCAGCACCCCUGCUGUCCCCAGGCGCCACGCCACCACCCAUCUCCAUACUGUUGCUUACUUGUUCUGGGGGGUUCAUCCUCUCUCGCACAUCUGCUCAUUUCACCUCUGAGCAGGGGCCACAGUGGUGCAGAAGGAAGGACCAAGAACACUGUGUGUCUUUGGGCAAGCUGAUAAACUCAUCUGGAACCCAGUUUCCCCAACUGUGAAAUGGGGCCAGUCGUCCUGCCCUGCUGUCCUCACAGGAUUGUUGAGAGGCUCCCAGGGGGACAGCAUGAGUCUCUCUCAAGGGAAGAGGUGCUGGGAGGGGUGUGACCGCUCACUCCCCACAGACCACUGCAGCCUUUGCACUGCUUUUGCUGGUACUGCCAACCUUGCUGUUCAUUAAACGUGGUCUCGUUGCAUUGACUCCAGGCAUCCAAGUCUGGUCUUUUCAGCCAGAGGGACCUCCAGGGGCUUCCCCGGGGCCUGCCACAAAAUCCAGUACAGAAGGCCCCCCACCGCCAUGCUGACUGAUGCUUUAUCACUGGGAUGGCGAAGGCCUUUUAAAAACAUAGCCUUUUGGGAAGAAAUGAAGUGAAAUGUCAGCACUGUGUAGAGGGCUCCCUGUGCAAACUUCCUGAACUGGGAGGUUAUUUUUCUGGUAAAUCCAGCACGUUCUUUGUGACUGCCCUGAGGGGUCCCCACCUGGGCCUUCCUGGGGAGGCCAGUUGCUACUUAAGUCAUGAUCUCUACAUCAUGAGUGAAGUUCUUUGCUUUGUGAGAGCAUUCAAAAUACUUGGUUUCUUUAAAUUUAACAUCUUCUUUUUUCUAACCUUCCUACUAACCUAGAGGGUAUGUGUGAUUAUUAUCUUUGUUUUUUAUGCUUAGCAUUGCCCUUAUUAUCUGAUACUGGAUGUUCCCAAAUAGAACAUAAUUUAUUUUAGUUUUCUCUA